rnacentral:rRNA from 1 species
AGCGCAGGCGGUUUCUUAAGUCCGAUGUGAAAGCCUUCGGCUCAACCGAAGAAGUGCAUCGGAAACUGGGAAACUUGAGUGCAGAAGAGGACAGUGGAACUUCAUGUGUAGCGGUGAAAUGCGUAGAUAUAUGGAAGAACACCAGUGGCGAAGGCGGCUGUCUGGUCUGUAACUGACGCUGAGGCUCGAAAGCAUGGGUAGCAAACA